rnacentral:rRNA from 1 species
GACGAACGCUGGCGGCGUGCUUAACACAUGCAAGUCGAACGGAAAGGCCCUGCUUUUGUGGGGUGCUCGAGUGGCGAACGGGUGAGUAACACGUGAGUAACCUGCCCUUGACUUUGGGAUAACUUUAGGAAACUGGGGCUAAUACCGGAUAGGAGCUCCUGCUGCAUGUUGGGGGUUGGAAAGUUUCGGCGGUUGGGGAUGGACUCGCGGCUUAUCAGCUUGUUUGUGGGGUAGUGGCUUACCAAGGCUUUGACGGGUAGCCGGCCUGAGAGGGUGACCGGCCACAUUGGGCCUGAGAUACGGCCCAGACUCCUAUGGUAGGCAGCAGUGGAGAAUAUUGCACAAUGGGCGGAAGCCUGAUGAAGCAACGCCGCGUGCGGGAUGACGGCCUUCGGGUUGUAAACCGCUUUCGCCUGUGACGAAGCGUGAGUGACGGUAAUGGGUAAAGAAGCACCGGCUAACUACGUG